AACGAACGCUGGCGGCAUGCCUAACACAUGCGAGUCGAACGAGACCUUCGGGUCUAGUGGCGCACGGGUGCGUAACGCGUGGGAACCUGCCCUUAGGUUCGGAAUAACUCCCCGAAAGGGGUGCUAAUACCGGAUAAUGUCUUCGGACCAAAGAUUUAUCGCCUUUGGAUGGGCCCGCGUCGGAUUAGCUAGUUGGUAGGGUAAAAGCCUACCAAGGCGACGAUCCAUAGCUGGUCUGAGAGGAUGAUCAGCCACACUGGGACUGAGACACGGCCCAGACUCCUACGGGAGGCAGCAGUGGGGAAUAUUGGACAAUGGGCGAAAGCCUGAUCCAGCAAUGCCGCGUGAGUGAUGAAGGCCUUAGGGUUGUAAAGCUCUUUUACCCGGGAUGAUAAUGACAGUACCGGGAGAAUAAGCUCCGGCUAACUCCGUG
rnacentral:rRNA from 1 species